rnacentral:rRNA from 1 species
AGUGAACGCUGGCGGUAGGCCUAACACAUGCAAGUCGAACGGCAGCACAGUAAGAGCUUGCUCUUACGGGUGGCGAGUGGCAGACGGGUGAGGAAUACAUCGGAAUCUACUUUUUCGUGGGGGAUAACGUAGGGAAACUUACGCUAAUACCGCAUACGACCUACGGGUGAAAGCAGGGGAUCUUCGGACCUUGCGCGAUUGAAUGAGCCGAUGUCGGAUUAGCUAGUUGGCGGGGUAAAGGCCCACCAAGGCGACGAUCCGUAGCUGGUCUGAGAGGAUGAUCAGCCACACUGGAACUGAGACACGGCCCAGACUCCUACUGGAGGCAGCAGUGGUGAAUAUUGGAGAAUGGGCGCAAGCCUGAUCCAGCCAUACCGCGUGGGUGAAGAAGGCCUUCGGGUUGUAAAGCCCUUUUGUUGGGAAAGAAAAGCAGCAGGUUAAUACCCCGCUGUUUUGACGGUACCCAAAGAAUAAGCACCGGCUAACUUCGUG